GAAGGUGGUGACACUGGGUGUUGGGUAAUCUUAUUUAUCCUUUUGGAAUUCAAAGAAGGUGGGAGGAAAGGAACCCAUCCUUGUAGCACAUGGAGGGGCCUUGAAACCCCAUUGCUCCUGCCAACACUACUUAGCUCAUCCAUUUAUUCAUUCAUGCCAGAGACUGAUCCUCAAGACUUCUGAAAAUGUGUUAAGAGCAGGCCCUCCAAUCACACGAGACAGAAUGUGAUUAAAAACUUAGAGCUGUCUUUAGGCUAAUAAGCAGCAGAAACUAAACCCAAGUGCAGAGGAAUGAAGACAGAUAUUGCAAAUAUUGAAGCCUCGUAAAUAUUAUUUUGCAAAUGGAAGCAUUUCAGUCAGGGGUUUCUGAUAAGGUUUGGGUUAGACUAUAAUCAGCAUGCACUCUUCUCUAAACUGAUUAGAGUCCUUGCUCCCUCAGUCCUCCUGGGUGGCUGUAGCAUGCAGAAAAAGGCAGCUGGUGACAUGCUGUGAAUUGGAAGUGGCUUCUAUUUACUUCUUCUCCUCCUACUCAUAUGGCCUGAGAUGGUGCCCAGUUCAAGCAGAAAUAAAACACCAUGCAGAGCUGACUGGCCGAAGUCCCUGGAGCCAAGUGUGGAGACUUGCUUUAGAGAUUGCCAGAUUAAAGGCCCACAAUUCCUUUUAAGUAGGAAGGAUGUUCUGAGCAGCAAAACAUAUCAAUAAAAUGCUUGUACAAUGAAAUUAGCUGUGGAACCUGCAAGAUAAACCUGGGACAACUAAUUGCAUCCAAGGAAGAUUAACAAAAGUGUUCUAUGGAAAGAAAUCAACAGUGUGAAUGGAAUGUAACCAAUAUCUCAGUGGUUCCUGUAGCUCGACACAGCGCACUACACUCUCUGGAGCCACAAAAGGGAGAAAAUGUACCUUCGAACACUCCUGCAUGAUGAAUUUUUCCACCUCUACAGAAAUUCCUGGUCACAGGGCAAAUCUCUUGGCUUUCUGUGUGUCCCAACCAUGACAGGUCGACUGGCCUGAAGACCAAGAAUCCUGCUGCUACAGGUAAUUAAUAUGCUGUACACUGUUUGCCUCUUUCCUUUUAAAGACCCCCUGGC